rnacentral:rRNA from 1 species
GACGAACGCUGGCGGCGUGCUUAACACAUGCAAGUCGAACGGAAAGGCCCUGCUUUUGUGGGGUGCUCGAGUGGCGAACGGGUGAGUAACACGUGAGUAACCUGCCCUUGACUUUGGGAUAACUUCAGGAAACUGGGGCUAAUACCGGAUAGGAGCUCCUGCUGCAUGGUGGGGGUUGGAAAGUUUCGGCGGUUGGGGAUGGACUCGCGGCUUCUCCGCUUGUUGGUGGGGUAGUGGCUUACCAAGGCUUUGACGGGUAGCCGGCCUGAGAGGGGGACCGGCGACAUGGGGACUGAGAUACGGCCCAGACGCCUACGGGAGGCAGCGGGGGGGAAUAUGGCGCAAUGGGGGGAAGCCUGAUGCAGCAACGCCGCGUGCGGGAUGACGGCCUUCGGGGUGUAAACCGCUUUCGCCUGUGACGAAGCGUGAGUGACGGUAAUGGGUAAAGAAGCACCGGCUAACUACGUG